rnacentral:rRNA from 1 species
GACGUAGGGCGCGAGCGUUGUCCGGAUUUAUUGGGCGUAAAGAGCUCGUAGGCGGUGUGUCACGUCGGCCGUGAAAACCUGCAGCUUAACUGUGGGCGUGCGGUCGAUACGGGCAUCACUGGAGUUCGGCAGGGGAGACUGGAAUUCCUGGUGUAGCGGUGAAAUGCGCAGAUAUCAGGAGGAACACCGGUGGCGAAGGCGGAUCUCUGGGCCUUACCUGACGCUCGAGGUGCGAAAGCUAGGGGAGCGAACAGG